ACCUGGGUGGCUCAGUCAGUAGAGUGUGGGACUCUUGAUCUCCGGGUUGUGAGUUCAAGUCCCAUGUUAGGUG
rnacentral:tRNA from 1 species